rnacentral:rRNA from 1 species
GACGAACGCUGGCGGCGUGCUUAACACAUGCAAGUCGAACGGAAAGGCCCUGCUUUUGUGGGGUGCUCGAGUGGCGAACGGGUGAGUAACACGUGAGUAACCUGCCCUUGACUUUGGGAUAACUUCAGGAAACUGGGGCUAAUACCGGAUAGGAGCUCCUGCUGCAUGGUGGGGGUUGGAAAGUUUCGGCGGUUGGGGGUGGACUCGCGGCUUAUCAGCUUGUUGGCGGGGUAGUGGCUUACCAAGGCUUUGACGGGUAGCCGGCCUGAGAGGGUGACCGGCCACAUUGGGACUGAGAUACGGCCCAGACUCCUACGGGAGGCAGCAGUGGGGAAUAUUGCACAAUGGGCGGAAGCCUGAUGCAGCAACGCCGCGUGCGGGAUGACGGCCUUCGGGUUGUAAACCGCUUUCGCCUGUGACGAAGCGUGAGUGACGGUAGUGGGUAAAGGAGCACCGGCUAACUACGUG